rnacentral:lncRNA from 1 species
UUUUUGUAAGAUUUUUUCAAUUCAGUAAAAUUGUAUCAACCCACUGAUUACUCUCGCAUUCUAUAUCAUGUUCAUAUUACGAAAUGCCCUUAUUCCCUUAUUGGAGAAUCUUUCUAGAUCAAAGGAAGCAAGAGUUGAUGUUAUUAUAAAAACCCAGGAAUACUAUUUUCUAAAUUUAAUAAAGUUUAUGUACAUUUUUCUGGAGCCACAGGACAACCUUUUUUUUGAGAGUGUGGUGGUAAUCGUCAAAUUUAAUGCAAUAUCCGAUGGGGAACUAGAUUAAUUUCAUCCUUUUGGGCUUUUCAGGAAGGACCUUAGUUCAACAGAUCUGGCAUCAUGAACUUCUUAGUGAACCAGCAAAUCGCCAUCAGUAAUCAGAUCAAUGACUCGGACUGGUCCAUAUGGCCUCUACAACAGAUCCUUUUGUACAUUUUCUACGGGUUAAAGCUGAAGCAGGGUUAUUAAGAAGCACUAGUCCAGUAAGUCCUUGGGCCUCAUCUUGUCACUCAAGCAGGCUGUGUCUCUUUUAGGACGAAAAGAUCUCCGUGGAAGCCAAAGUGUUACAUGGACGACAGGUGGCUUGCAUAUGAUCCCGAGGACAUGCGUCUCAUAGUCAAAACUAAGUAACUAGUAUUGUGCACUUCCUGUUCGUCUUCAUCUAGGAGGAGGCAAGAGGUGUUUCAAGCCACAGAUAAAGCUUGGAUUGUAGAGCCUCUCAACUCCUACAUCUGCGGCUUGAAUAAAAGGUCCCAACAAGAGUACUCACCUUCACUUGGGCUUCCUGAGAUAACGGAAUCAAUCUUCCUCUCCUCUUUCUUUACCUAUUUCAGACAAUCAUUAUAGCUUUAAAAUUGGUUCAGAACUAACAAUUUUCAUAAAAUGUGUCAAGUAGGAUUUAAAUCCAAACACAUCUUUUCAUUGCAUCGUUAGGUCUUGAAAUGUAAUUGCAUCGUUUACAUUGGACUCCUAUUAAAAAAAUGUAUUGAUUUUUAGUUACUUUUUUUCUACUCGAAUACAGUUUUGUUUAUUCAUAAAAUGAUAUAUUUUUAAAUAGUUGUUUUUAUUAGUUUGUACAAUCUAGUUAUGAAAUUGUUUAAAAAGAACUGGCGUUAUGAAAAAAAAAAUCAAAAAUGCUAGAUGACUUAGUCAGAGGUGUGGAGUUGGAUUAGAAUAUUUCUGAUCAAAGAUGUUUAACUCCACCUAGUCAUUAAAUUAUCAAUAGCCGGAGACACAGAGCUUAAAAUUGUUGCUGUAAGAGUCUUAAUGAAUAAAAUGGAUACUUUUGUUAAAAUCGUAAUCAACCUUGAUUUCAUUUUCAUUGCUCUACAGUUGCAAAAAUAAUACGUAUGCAGGUAUUGUUAUUUUCUUUUUAUUCAUCAACUAUUAUUGAAAUUUCUUCAUUUUCCUCAUCCUCUUCAGAUAAAUUUUUGGAGCAUUUUGAUUUGCUGAUUGUAUAACUGACGUUUACGUCUGAUGUAAUGGAUUCAGCUAUUUGGGGAUCGUCUUCCACUAUCAAGCCAAUUAUUUAAUUGGUAUAGUAAAAUGAUAACUGUGUAUAGUACUUCAAUUUAAGGUAGUCAAUUAUUUACUUCAGAGCUCACAAAUUCAAUAUUUGCUAUGUACUAUAGUCUAUAAAUUAUACUUGUGUUGUACAGGGAGUACAUUUAAAAUUCAUUAUUAAUGAUAACCGAACCAUCUGGUUAGUUCAUGUUUGCAAGUGGAGUAAGAGAUAUGGUUUACCUUAUAAAAACGAGAAGAGCUGGUAUAAAGCUUGUGGAUGACUGCAACCACAUCUAUAGAGUAGCUUAUAAAACAUCUCACAUGACUUAUUGGAAAUGGGAGCGAUAUGGUUGUAGAGGUCGAGUUCAUAUUAUUAUGGAAAAUGAAACUCCCAUUAUGGUAAAGAGGUAUGGCGAAUUUAUAGAAUAUGCAUAUUGUAAAUUCUAUUAUUUGUAUGCAACGCAACAAUAAUAUGCCCAAUCUUGGUAAUACCAAUAAAAGACUCAAGAACAUGAAAAAUUAAAGUCGUCCCUGUAGCAACAACAAUUCAAUUAAAACAUUGCUGUAAUAGAAUUACUAUCCUAAGGGAGAUCGGUAUACUGAAAGAGGGUUUCCAUGAUCCCCCCUCUUUCAAUCCGGUACUGAUAGUUCAUUUACAAAGAUUAAGCAAAAAAAAAAUAGAACAUAAAAUAUGAGAUUUUUUAUUUGUACUAUAUUCUAACAAGGUAUUUUUCGUCCCAGUACAAAAUCUUAGUUUUAGAAUUAAUAUCGUAAAAAUACUUUACUUCCUCUCCUUGACAGGUUUAUGGAGUUUUUUCCAAGUACGACACUAUAUUAAUAUAUAAAAUCCCUGGCGUCUUCAAAAACGUCUCUGUAACGUUAUUCAAAGGCCACUGGAACUUAGGGCUACGGUCGAUCCUGAUCCUAAUCCGUCUUGAGAUAAGAUGACUAAAAAAGAUACCUUGAUUUAGCUUCAAAAUAUUGGAAAUUGAAUAUUUCAUAUUUGUUAGCAGGGAUAAGUCAAAGGGAUUCUGAUCAUUGCAAGUCUCAUCCUAUUUCAUUUAAACAUUUCAUGACAGAAAAAGUUAUUAACAAACAAUAAAGUAUUACAAACACUCACCGUAUAUGUUAAAAUGUGCUACAACUUCUUGAGUAAAAGACUAAGAACUUGUAAAAUUAAAGUCCUCACUGAGCAACACUUACUAUGUCUAUGUUCAUUCAAAAUUAUUUAUUUGUGUUCCUUCUUCCUCUUUUCCCUCAGCUUAAGUACACCGGUAAAAAAACGGUUAUAAUUCAUCAUAAUAAGAAACAACAAUUAUUUCAUAAUUAAUUACAAAGGACUUCAAGUUAAAGUAAAGCAUGACAUUAAAUUAUAUGCGCAAGAUACAUUUAUCCUAUAAUAUAUGUUUGUGGGCGAAAAUCUCCAGGGCGAAACUUCCCAGGGCAAAACUACACAGGGCGUAACUUCUGGUAACGGCAAACAUCAUUGUAUUUUCAGAUGAGAAGACUUUCAUAGUGGGUCAGGUGUUUAACCGAGAAAAUGACCGAUUAUUGACAUUCCCCGACGCCCCCUGGAUGAAUCCGCCAGGUAAGUGAGCACCACAAAGCAUGCUCGAGGAAAACGAUUUAUAAUGUCUCUAUUCGCUUGAAGGUGGGAAGGACCUCAGACACUCUUCAAUAGCAGUCAGGAAAACAUCCGUGUCAGUCAAUCGCCUGAAGUCGGCCUUCAAGAAAAAGCCUAAUUCUUCAAUUGCUGACAUGGCCAGAAAAAUGUGCAAGUUCUCAUCAACAGUAUUCAGGGCUAUAAAAAAGGCAGGAGGAAUGUCUUAGUGGCGUAUUCCACGUACUUUGUUACAGAACAGCAGAGAAAAGCCCUCGUGGAGCGGGGAAAAAGUUCAAAAACUCCAUCAAGGGAACUUGCAAAUCAUUGAGCUCUUUUCUGAUAGAAGAAAUUUACUAUUGACCUUGCCUUCAACAGGCAGAAUGAUCAAGUAGUGACAUUUCAGGAUGUAGCAAAGGAGCACCGAAAUGUGUCAACCAACAAACGCCCUGCUUCAGUCAUGAUGUUAGGGCUGGUUGCAUUCAAAGGGAAGGCCAUUACUCCCGGUUGGUUCCCUUUGGGAUACAGGUUGAAGGCUGUUGAAUAUGUCAAAAUGGAAACCAAAGUUUUCCAUCGUUGGUAAUUCUCUUUAGGUGUUCCAACAAGAUGGAACACCUACACAAACCGCAAACAAACGCCAAAAGUGGCUUCAGGCCAACAUACACUUCUGGGCAAAGAACUUAUGGCCACCGCAGAGCGGCCAUAAGUUUACUACAUAAAUUAUACAUUUAAGGCCAUAGUUUACUACAUAAAUUAGAUAUUGGAAAGAAAACAAGGAACAAGAUACUUUAACAUUUUUAGUCGCACUAUUCGUCCCUAAAUUUAUAGCAUUUUAGUCGAAGUAGAUGCACGUGAAGUCCAAAGCCUGCAGGAGACUCCACAACUGCAUCUGCGCCCUGCAACCUCUGUCAACAAGAUCUGACCCUAUAUAACCGCCAAGUACAUCCAGAGGGUCUGCAGCAUCUUGUACCACCCCUUGGAUAUCAACAUCCAUUCUGAGGGCGGAUGCAUUGACUAACACAUGUUCUUUGGGUUUUAAUUAAUAAUUAAAAGUUAAUAAACUUGAUUCUUAAUUCACCAGGAUCCUGCCAUGGACUUCAAUAUUUUGAGUGUUAAAAUGGGUAAAUAAUAACGGUUGGACCGGUACCACAACCCAUGGGUUAUGCUGUUUAGCCUGUAGACAUCCAUAGAUGGUUUUUUUGAAGCCAGGGCUGCCAGCUCAUUGGCUUAUCCCAUUUAUUAGUUUAAAAAGUAUCAUCUUAUGUAUUUUAGGUAAAAUGUAUAUAAACUUUAUUAAAUUUAGGAAAAUGUAUUCCUGGAUUUUUAUAAUAACAUCAACUCUUGCUUCUUUUGAUGUAGAAAGAUUCUCUAUUAAGGGAAUUAGGGCAUUUCAUAAUGUGAACAUGAUACAAUUUUACUGAAUUGAGUGAAACAUUUCUUAUUUUACUAAAAAAAUAAAAAAACAAGCCAACUUCAAAAACAAAACAAAAAAAAAUAUAUAUAAUCCUGUGGACGCCCCUAAAAUGUUAUUUUCCCUCUACUCACUUGUCACAGCUGAUCUAAUGAAACGCAAUGAGCUUUAUUCUUUCUGUCCGCCAAAAAAUUCAUAAAAUUGUAAUUGAUUUUUUUUUUUACACCUCCACAUUAUACACAAGAUUUUCAUCACUAUUCAUAUUUCAUGUGCGUAUGUAUAUAAUAUUAUUACUAGGAGAUUUUCAUUGAUUUCACUCCAACGCAAAUUGGAACAUUAAAUAUCGAACUCAUUUUAUGGGCUAUCCUGCUCUCAAUGAUCCCUUUAUUCUAAAGUGCAUUAAAACUUUCUGUUUCAUCAAUAAAGUGGUUUGAAAUAAAUAGAUAGGUUGACAUGAACCUAUACCACUUACCCCGUUUAUUCAACAUGACUGUUGUAGACGAAAUUACAUUUUCUUUGUACUCUCAAGAUUGAAUGGAUCUAUCAUACUUAAAAUUGUAUUUCAUUAUUUCUUACUGAUUUUACCAAGCAAAACCUUUAUCUUGAAUCUUCAAGAAGGAAAGAAAAUGGUUCAACACAUGUGCGUAUGUAUGUUGUAUAUGUUAAGCUUUGAAAGAAAUAUAAAGGCUGGGAUGUUAAAACGAAA